rnacentral:rRNA from 1 species
UUCCGGUUGAUCCCGGCGGAGGUUACUGCUAUCGAGGUUCGACUAAGCCAUGCGAGUCGAAUGUAGCAAUACAUGGCGUACUGCUCAGUAACACGUGGACAACCUACCCUUAGGUCGGGGAUAAACCCGGGAAACUGGGUAUAAUACCCGAUAGUCCUCGAAUGCUGGAAUGCAUCGAGGUCUAAAGCUCCGGCGCCUAAGGAUGGGUCUGCGGCCUAUCAGGUAGUAGUGGGUGUAGCGUACCUACUAGCCUACGACGGGUACGGGUUGUGAGAGCAAGAGCCCGGAGAUGGAUUCUGAGACACGAAUCCAGGCCCUACGGGGUGCAGCAGGCGCGAAAACUUUACAAUGCUGGAAACAGCGAUAAGGGGACCUCGAGUGCCAGGUUACAAAUCUGGCUGUCGUGAUGCCUAAAAAGCAUUGCAUAGCAAGGGUCGGGCAAGACCGGUGCCAGCCGCCGCGGUAACACCGGCGGCUCGAGUGGUAACCGCUAUUAUUGGGUCUAAAGGGUCUGUAGCCGGCCGGAUAAGUCUUUUGGGAAAUCUGGCAGCUUAACUGUCAGGCUUUCAGAGGAUACUGUCUGGCUCGAGGCCGGGAGAGGUGAGAGGUACUCAGGGGUAGGGGGAAAUCUUGUACCUGAAGGACCACCA